GGCUGUCCCAGUGGAAUCCAGCCUUGCCACGAAUAAAAGGGUUUUCUGAGGCAUAAGUACUUACACAGCCAGCCAAUUUGGCCCUCCACGUAUUUGUGAUGCUUGCUUGAAAAUGGUGCUUCCAGAUGGAAAUCUGGGGAAGGAAAGAGGAAGAGACAUCAGAGAUGCACAGAGAAGACCACUCGAGGACACAGCAGGAGGAUGGCCAUCUGCCAGCCAAGGAAAAGGGCUGAAGGAUAACCCAAUACUGCAGACACCUUGAUCUUAAACUUCCAGCCCCCAGAACUGACAUUGAGACCAAACUGAACAUGCAUGGCUAAGAGGAUGUUGUCCAGAGGGGAAUUGUCUAUAACAUUGCAUGUAUGGAUUUGCAGAAAAAAAAAAGUUAAAAACAACCUUGAAAAUGAUUGUUUGGAAAUGACUCCAUUAAAUGUAAAAUUAGAGAAUUUGGUUAUUUAAAAUAAUUUUAACUGGUGACACUAAUGAUUAGAAACCAUUUUAGUGAGAGCAAAAAUAAUAUACAUGUGAAAACUAGAAGAAAUUACACAGAGACCACUGUCUUUGAGUUUUCUUAAAGAAUAAGACAAAGUUGUUAUUGCUCUGUCUUUAAUAAAAUUUGCUGUAGGUUAAUUUGGUCAUACUUAAGAUUGUAGCAAAAGUUGUGGCUUUCAGAUGCAGUCUCACUAAGCUUAUACAUUAAAAUAUUUCAUUUUAGAAAAAUUUACUUUAAUGAGAUCUACAUUUCCUCAUAAGGAAGGAAGAACAUAUGCUUAUAAAAAUUCUAAGGAUGCCUAAGUCUUCUCUAUGUAGUAUGUAAUGUAAAGAAAACAUCCAAAGGGCUUUGAGUAUAAUGUGUAUAACAGACGGUGGUGACUUUGACUAGUAAAACAGAGACUACAAGGAAUGAGAUUUUCCAAUAUUUUGACAAAGCCAGUUUUUGCUAGGUCUUUUCUUUCUGACUGGGAGAAUAAAAAAAAUGAUUUGAAGAAAUGUUUCCUCUGGGUUUAUGCUAUGGUGUGAAUGUGUGUGUCCCCUCAAACUUCACAUGUUGAAAUUCGA